UACGUAGGUGGCAAGCGUUGUCCGGAUUUAUUGGGUUUAAAGGGUGCGUAGGCGGUUCCAUAAGUCAGUGGUGAAAUACAAUAGCUUAACUAUUGAGGUGCCAUUGAUACUGCGGAACUUGAGUACAGACGAGGUAGGCGGAAUUGACGGUGUAGCGGUGAAAUGCUUAGAUAUCGGUAGGAACACCAGUGGCGAAGGCGGUCUCCUGGGGCAUUCUUGACGCUGAGGCGCGAAAGCUGGGGGAGCGAACGGG
rnacentral:rRNA from 1 species